ACAGAUGACAUUACAUAUCCUGCAUCUCAAGUACCAAAAAAAUAACCAUUUGUUAUGACAAUGACUCAAACAUAUUUCUGUCCAGCUCCUUGAGCCCUCUGGUUGAUUGUAAAUAGCGCAGGAAGAGAAUGUGGACUGGCGGAAGGUUUUGUGAGCCCAGCUCGUUGGGUUAGGAGUUGACCUUUCUUUUGGUUUCUCAAAGUGGUGACACCAAGAACAGUCCCCUUUGGGAGCAGGUGUCACCAAGGUCUAACAUCCCCAUUACGUGCAGGGGGUGUUUCCAGUCUCUGUGAUAGAAACGGGAGACUGUAUCUGGGCUUCUCAAUUGGUUAUCGCUUGUGCAGCUCGCUCUAAUCUGCGGGAGCCGGAGCCAGCAGCACAGCUGACUCUGGAGAUGGGCGCAGGCCAGGCCCUUCCAGGCAGAGGAGGGACAGCAGCACAUGGGCUAGUGCCAGAGGGAGAGGGAGGCAGAGCACAGCGUUUGCUUUCCACCUUUGCUUCCAAGGAAGAAAAGCCAUCAUACACAGCAUGUGCACUGAGAAACCAAGGGGGCUGCCUCGCAACAGAAGGCAUCUGCAACAAACAGAAACAGGAUUUCGCUAUAUUGCCCAGGCUGGUUUAGAACUCCAGGCCUCAAGUAAUCUUCCUGCCUUGGCCUCCCGAAGUGCUGGGAUUACAGGCACAUUAUAACUAUGAUACAGUUCAACAAGGAGAUAUUUUCUACUUUCUAUUAUAAGAAUGCACAUAUCGUUCAUUUUAUUCAAAAGCCCACUGUUUUCAGGAAGCUUCGAAAUGGGCGGGGUAAUAUAGUCACUCUCGUUUAUUCAGACAGAGGCGCAAUAUUAAAAGCUUACCUGAAAUUCUGUACUGUGUCAAGGGGUGAAGUUAAUACAGAACUGAAAUUAAAAUGCAAAAAAGUAUUAUUAUAAAGAGCAAAGAAAGCAUUCUACAAGGCAACCUGAGAAGAGCUUGAACAAACUAUGUUAGACGUGGUUGUACAUCGACAUAAAGCCACCUGCUCCCACCUCUUUCUUCAAGUCUGUGUCUCACAAUGCUGGGGGCAGUUCCCUUGGUAAAGCUGAGUUUAUGUCUUAUUUACCAUCCCACAUCCUCUCUAUCCUGCUGAGGCUUAGCAACCGUGAUGGGAUUAGGGGCUCUGAGGCCUCAAGUGGAUGGAGGAGUUUUGGGCCGAGUGGAACUUCAACCAUCAUCCCUACCCCAGAUCUGCUAUUUGAACUCUGGGCACAAAGGUGGCGGAGGGGUCCCCCAUCACUGUGGCUCUCCAACUCCAGGUGGAAAAGCCCCGCAGCCAUGACUAAAGGCCACGGUGAACGCCCAAUGAGGGACCUGUGAUGGAUUUAAAAGGUAAAAAGCAGUUUUCUGGAUUUCAUACUCUCGAGAAAGAGCUCAUCAUGACCAUCGUUCUAGAUGGCCAUACCUUCAGAAAAAUCCAAGUCUGCUUUAUUUUGCUUAACCUAUUCAUUAAAGUUUCCUUUCAAGUACUGAAUGACAGUCCUAUUUUAAAUUCCCUUUUUGAUCUUAAUUUGCAGGGAAUUUAAAUGUCUUUCGUAUUGUGAUUCUUUUCUUAAGUAAACUGAGGACGGAUGCUCACGCUGACCAUGGCUGGACUGUUGCUUUGGUAAUAACCAAAGACACCCCGUGCCUACUCUGUCUGAAACUGACAAUAUUGCGGCAAAUGGAAUCAUUUUGUGCUUUUGGAUGUAUUCAAGCAGAGGUCCUUGGCAACAGUAAUGCCACUCCAAGGGGGCAUUUUGGAAAUGCCAGGGGUCCCUCUGGUUCUCUUAAUAACUCAGAGAUCCAGAAUGUUAGAUCUCCUGCAAGGACAAGGAAGAUAUGUCCCAUGUGACUUUAAAAAAUACUCUGCGCACCUAAAUCCUCUGUAAUUGUAAACAGGCGGUUCUCCAAUACACAAACAGUGAAACAUUUUUAUAAGCAGUUAUAGGAAAAGCCCAAUAUUUGGGAGAAGUUUAUUACAUGAAUGGAAGCUUAAUGGGUUUAAGAUAUCAUGAAAUAUUUGAAUAAAUUGUUCACUGCUUA